rnacentral:tRNA from 1 species
GGGCCUGUAGUAAAACGGCAUUACGCUACAUUCGCAUUGUAGAGGUCCGGGUCCAAUUCCCGGCAGGUCCA